rfam:Schistosoma margrebowiei strain Zambia genome assembly, scaffold: SMRZ_contig0004721
GCACUGCUGAGGAGUCCCACAAUAGGACGAAACGGCCGCCCAGUGU